UCCGGUUUGUCACCGGUAGUCUCAUUAGAGUGCCCAACUAAAUGUAGCAACUAAUGAUAAGGGUUGCGCUCGUUGCGGGACUUAACCCAACAUCUCACGACACGAGCUGACGACGGCCAUGCAGCACCUGUGUUCUAGUUCUCUUUCGAGCACGAAACCAUCUCUGGUAACUUCUAGACAUGUCAAGGGUAGGUAAGGUUUUUCGCGUUGCAUCGAAUUAAACCACAUGCUCCACCGCUUGUGCGGGCCCCCGUCAAUUCCUUUGAGUUUCAGCCUUGCGGCCGUACUCCCCAGGCGGGGCACUUGCUGCGUUAGCGACGGCACCGGGAGGGUCGCUCCCCCCGACGCCUAGUGCCCAUCGUUUACGGCGUGGACUAC
rnacentral:misc_RNA from 1 species